rnacentral:rRNA from 1 species
AACUUAAGGAAUUGACGGGGAGCACCACAACGGGUGGAGCUUGCGGUUUAAUUGGAUUCAACGCCGGAAAUCUUACCGGGACCGACAGCAAUAUGAAGGCCAGGCUGAAGACUUUGCCGGAUUAGCUGAGAGGUGGUGCAUGGCCGUCGUCAGUUCGUACUGUGAAGCAUCCUGUUAAGUCAGGCAACGAGCGAGACCCACGCCCACAGUUGCCAGCGUACUCUCUGGAGUGACGGGUACACUGUGGGACCGCCGCUGCUAAAGCGGAGGAAGGAAUGGGCAACGGUAGGUCAGUAUGCCCCGAAUAUCCCGGGCUACACGCGAGCUACAAUGGUUGGUACAAUGGGUAUCUACCCCGAAAGGGGACGGGAAUCUCCUAAAACCAAUCUUAGUUCGGAUUGAGGGCUGCAACUCGCCCUCAUGAAGCUGGAAUCCGUAGUAAUCGCGUUUCAACAGAACGCGGUGAAUACGUCCCUGCUCCUU